UACGUAGGGCGCAAGCGUUUAUCCGGAAUUAUUGGGCGUAAAGAGCUCGUAGGCGGUUUGUCGCGUCUGCCGUGAAAGUCCGGGGCUCAACUCCGGAUCUGCGGUGGGUACGGGCAGACUAGAGUGAUGUAGGGGAGACUGGAAUUCCUGGUGUAGCGGUGAAAUGCGCAGAUAUCAGGAGGAACACCGAUGGCGAAGGCAGGUCUCUGGGCAUUAACUGACGCUGAGGAGCGAAAAGCAUGGGGGAGCGAACAGGG
rnacentral:rRNA from 1 species